GGCCUUGUGGCCUUGUACACACCGCCCGUCACACCAUGGGAGUGGGUUGCAAAAGAAGUAGGUAGCUUAACCUUCGGGAGGGCGCUUACCACUUUGUGAUUCAUGACUGGGGUGAAGUCGUAACAAGGUAACCGUAGGGGAACCUGCGGUUGGAUCACCUCCUUA
rnacentral:rRNA from 1 species